GUUCUUGCCUGGAGAAUCCCAGGGACGGGGGAGCCUGGUGGGCUUCCGUCUAUGGGGUCGCACAGAGUCGGACACGACUGAAGUGACUUAGCAUAGUGGUCAGUUAGCUCCCUGAAGUUAGAGGUUUGCUGGCACAUUUUCACAGCCAUCACAAAGUCUGAGAAAUGGUCACUGUGGUAGCAAGAGCCAGGAGAGAGUCAUUGGACGGUCAAAGAAUAAAGAAUAUGAAGCAGAUAAAAUGCGCAGAGCUGUUCCAAAAGGAAGAGAUUGCUGACAAGAUUAGAAUGUGUAGAGUCAUGCAAAUUGCCAGGCUGGAUGAGUUACAAGCUGGAAUCAAGAUUGCUGGGAGAAAUAUCAACAACCUCAAAUAUGCAAAUGAUGCCACUCACAUGGCAGAAAGCAAAGAGGAUCUAAAAAGUCUCUGGAGGAGGGGAUUCCUGGCAUGCUCCGGUUCAUGGGGUCACAAAGAGUAGGACAUAAUUGAGUGACUGAACUGAACUGAG
ensembl:lncRNA